GGAUGAGCCCGCGGCCUAUCAGCUUGUUGGUGAGGUAAUGGCUCACCAAGGCGACGACGGGUAGCCGGCCUGAGAGGGCGACCGGCCACACUGGGGCUGAGACACGGCCCAGACUCCUACGGGAGGCAGCAGUGGGGAAUAUUGCACAAUGGGCGAAAGCCUGAUGCAGCGACGCCGCGUGAGGGAUGACGGCCUUCGGGUUGUAAACCUCUUUCAGCAGGGAAGAAGCGAAAGUGACGGUACCUGCAGAAGAAGCGCCGGCUAACUACGUGCCAGCAGCCGCGGUAAUACGUAGGGCGCAAGCGUUGUCCGGAAUUAUUGGGCGUAAAGAGCUCGUAGGCGGCUUGUCACGUCGGGUGUGAAAGCCCGGGGCUUAACCCCGGGUCUGCAUUCGAUACGGGCUAGCUAGAGUGUGGUAGGGGAGAUCGGAAUUCCUGGUGUAGCGGUGAAAUGCGCAGAUAUCAGGAGGAACACCGGUGGCGAAGCGGAUCUCUGGGCCAUUACUGACGCUGAGGAGCGAAAGCGUGGGGAGCGAAACAGGAUUAGAUACCCUGGUAGUCCACGCCGUAAACGGUGGGAACUAGGUGUUGGCGACAUUCCACGUCGUCGGUGCCGCAGCUAACGCAUUAAGUUCCCCGCCUGGGGAGUACGGCCGCAAGGCUAAAACUCAAAGGAAUUGACGGGGGCCCGCACGAGCAGCGGAGCAUGUGGCUUAAUUCGACGCAACGCGAAGAACCUUACCAAGGCUUGACAUACACCGGAAAACCCUGGAGACAGGGUCCCCCUUGUGGUCGGUGUACAGGUGGUGCAUGGCUGUCGUCAGCUCGUGUCGUGAGAUGUUGGGUUAAGUCCCGCAACGAGCGCAACCCUUGUCCUGUGUUGCCAGCAUGCCCUUCGGGGUGAUGGGGACUCACAGGAGACCGCCGGGGUCAACUCGGAGGAAGGUGGGGACGACGUCAAGUCAUCAUGCCCCUUAUGUCUUGGGCUGCACACGUGCUACAAUGGCCGGUACAAUGAGCUGCGAUACCGUGAGGUGGAGCGAAUCUCAAAAAGCCGGUCUCAGUUCGGAUUGGGGUCUGCAACUCGACCCCAUGAAGUCGGAGUUGCUAGUAAUCGCAGAUCAGCAUUGCUGCGGUGAAUACGUUCCCGGGCCUUGUACACACCGCCCGUCACGUCACGAAAGUUGGUAACACCCGAAGCCGGUGGCCCAACCCCUUGUGGGAGGGAGCUGUCGAAGGUGGGGCUGG
rnacentral:rRNA from 1 species